UCUUGUAAAAUUAGCUGCUAGGCUUGCGCAAGCUGGGUUUAUAUAAUGUUGGUACCAAACAUCAAUAUGCACCUUGUACCUUGGAGGCUGCCAAAUCCCCAGAACAACAGCCUGCUGGGAGUCAUGUGAGGCACCGUCCCACUGCAAACAGCUUUGGGCGGGAGCCCAACUGCAAACUCUUCCUCUCUCUCUCUCUCUUCCCCCACCAACUGAAAUUAGUAAAUGUUUCCACCCGGCAUUUCAGCGGUGACCUCAGGUCUAGAGUUUGGUGAGCCGUACAGAGCCCAUGGGCACACCAGCCCGGGCAACACAAGCUCCACGCUGCCGAGAGGAGAAGCCCGCCGGGACGGGGUGCCCGGGAGAGCCCAGCGCGCUCCUGCACCCAGCAAAGCCGCCGGGGCUGCGGAGAGACGGGGCGGCUGCAGGAGACACCGAUAUGUGCGCGGCACAGAUGGAAAAGGAAGAACCACCUCCAAAUACCUGAGAUACACUGCAAUCAUUUAGACAGAUAAACAUCUUGAUUCCUAGAGAUAACAGGAGUUGUAUGGUUGGCCUCAAAUCCAAGCAUUCGUGACAAUUCUUGAAACAUGAACGUUAUUACUCCCCACUUCCACAACAAUUUACACACAACUGCAAAGAAAACCCUUCCUUCUCCCUUUGCAGCUGGAAAAUGCACUGUGAACACGCUACCCAAAGCCUCGCCGUAGUUGCCAUCCAAGGCACAAAAAGCACUUCUUUGAAAAGAGAGCAGGGAGUUUUUGACAAAAAAUCUAGUUGUUGCCUGCCAGACAUUUUGUUUCUCUUCCCAAGUUGGGAAAGGAGAACGUGGGUCCACCUAAGCAGAUUGCAACUGUGAUAGAAAUUUCUCAGGCUACCCAUUACAAAACAACUACCAUGCGUUCACUCCUCUCUCUUCCUCUCCAAAAAGAGUGGCAGCUGGAAUGAAAGCCACCAAGACCUGUCAAGAGGAGAUCCUGCCCUUUGAGGACCGCAGCUUUGCUCAUGUGGUCAAGUCACAGAGGAAUCCUGGGGAUGCUGCAGGAGUCUGGUCCAGCCAAAGAGCUUGUGGGUGUUCUCUUAUUUUUGCAGUAUCCAUCGUGUAAGGGUGGCACCUGCCACUGUAACAAAACAUUUGCAAAGAGUAAUUUACAUCUGCUACUUAUCCAGCUGCACAUGAACAAAAGCCCCUCCUUGUAUCAUGAAUAAUUUCUUCAGAUACCAGGUGUUGCCUGAUUUCUCCAGAAUGGCCAACUCCUACAAUUUUAUAAUGAGUAGUACUACAUAUAGUGACUUUCCACUAAAAUAACUUCUGCACCUAAGAACCUCAUCCCUCAUUUAAAGUCAGUUUUAAUCUUCUGUGCAUGCAAGGACCUGAGUGCCUCUGACGCACAAACCAGAAGGCAACCUUCCCCCAGCUCUGCAUACUAAAAUCUCAGUAUUUCUAAAGCCAGUCUCAAGAUUACACUUUUUCAGAUGCACAUGACUACUGUCAUGUAAAGAGGAAACACCUCUCAGUAUGCAGGCGCUUCAUUUAAGAAGUUCCAUAAACUGACAAACCAACUGAACUGGUUUGCUGAAAGUACGUUCUACAAAGAGCUUCCUUAGUCCAUCUGUUAAUCUUACAUAGUGCACGUUACCUCCAGAAAGUAAAUGUCUUGUCAGGAAUUACACUUCGAUACCAAGUAUUUCCACUUAGCACACUGCUGUCACUGCUCUUUCAGCCCAGGCACAUAGAAAUGCUCCAUCCGUCGAGACAACAGCUUGAGACUGCAAAGUGAACAGGCUUUGCAAAACAGAGCAGCCAUCGGCAGAACAUCAUUUGGACCAGCGACUGCUGUCCCUGGAGAGUCAUGCUGGGACAAGGAUAAAAUACAGGUGUGCUUCUGACCUUCACACCUCACCUUGUGUUUGCCCCCAUCUCCUCCUAUACUUCUGCCCUCUAAAACCAGAGAGGGUCAGGGCCCAAACCACAAGUGUGACAGUUCUGCAAGAAAAGACAGUGGCCUUCAAGUUGCAGGACAUUUCCAACAGAAGCACUGAUGAUUUCUCAGAAACGGGCUCCAAAUGAGCCUCAUCAGGCCUAUUUCAGAGCCAUGGGAGGGCAAGAUGUGGAGGAGGACUUCAAGGGUUCUUUCAAACGAACUGAAUCAGAGGUUUACCCAACCCCACUCUUUCAGAAGUUUCUGAAUAACGCACCAGCUUGAACCACUGGAAAGAAACAAAUAAAUGAGCUGGCAACUUUCACAGGGAGGAGCCUUGAAGCCCAGUUCCCAAGACCACGCCAACCAGCUCCGUGUGACAGCAUACAGGAAUGAAAAUAGGUAGGUAACAUUAACAGAAAUACACUGAAACUUAAUAACAGCAGCUUGUCAGGACACGCACCAAAGAGAAAUGGCUUAUAAUAGCUACAUCUCGUAUUAUGAAUGUUUCAUAGCCAUCUGGCUAGCAGAGCUGCCUAAACCCAACCGGUGUUUUGUGUGCGCUGUGGUAACCCAUGGUGCAUGCUCUGGAAGGAGACUAUCGAGCUCAAGUCCUAACAUCUGCAUUAAAAAGAGAGACCGUUCCUUUCGUCAGACGAAAAUGCCUUAGAAUAACAACACAGCAAUGAACGGAGCCCCUGAAGAGCUAAGGCUGUGUCCUCCUUUGGUCUACACCAGCAGGCAGAAAUGGAGUUAUCCCAAUUUACACCAAGAUCCAGCCCCAUCGUAUUAACCUCUUCUUGGUUCAGUCAUAACUUCCAUGUGUCUAUCAGUAGUUUAAAGCAAAGGCACAGUUUAAAGGAAAAAGCAAUCCCCCUGCCUUUCCUCUCCUGAUCUGAUUCGCAUACAAAAUGGGCUUAUGAACUCAAAAAUUAUGGGAGGGAUUCAGGGAGGAGGAAAGGGAGACACAAGAGCCCUUUUAUUUUGCGUCUUAUUCACAAUGAAAAUUGGCACAGAAGCCGACCACAUACAUUAACAUAGUUUGGGCAAGUUUAACUCUCAUGAAUACAUUUCUGUGGAAAAACUGUGUGACUAUGGAAAAAUCCCCUCUUUUUUGCCAUUUGAAAAGAUAACAGGCUUCUAUGUGGAACAUACCCAGAACCUGCCCGAUUCAGAGACAUGGAAAUACAAAGAUGAAUAAGGCUGAGUUUCCCAUGCUAGGGGCCCAUGGAAGCUGAGAGGGGAGGAAGAAGUGAGGAGGCCCAUUGACUCAGGAGAAGGACUUUCAUCCUACAGGUGAAGGAAGUAUUUGAAGGCACCAGUAACAUUGCAAGCCUGUUCUAGAGCCCGUUUCAGUCCUUGGCAAACUCCUCAUUGGCUUCACCGGGAUGUGGGUCAGGGCGAAACAGUUUUAAAAUAUAAUCCAAGGCUAUUUCUACAUCACCAUGUCAUGAGUGGGAUACAAAACAGUUCAAGUGUGUGGCUGCUGCUUGGGCUCAAAGUCUCGAUAUUGCACUGAGGAGCUGAGCUCAGGACCUUUUUGGAGGACCAGCUCAGACCAAAGUGCACACUAGACUGCACCCAUGUCUAAGUCAGGCAACCUGGAGGAAGGAAAGUUUCGGCCAAAUGUACUGGAGCAUCAAUUGCACUUCUCCCCUCCUGUAUCUCCAUUGCCCUUCUCCAAACUCAGGCUUAAGGAGGGCUCUCUGUGAGCUGGAGGGUUUGCAAAGAGCAGGAGGUGUAUCUGCUGGACAACAUGGGCAUUCCUUUGUCUGAUGACUUAAGUGCACCCAAAAUCUGGAAUUCAAAGCUAGUCCGCUAGUCCAGCCACAGCGACCUGCACUGCGCUGCGCUGCGAUCCUCUGGCCCAAGCGCAGUCCAGAUCCAGCCUUGAAGGUUCUGCAGAAUUUCACAGUUACACAAAACCCUGCCUCAGACAUCCCUAAUUGCAACCUACAAGCUAUUGCCAUUCCCAUAAAAAAACCCUUUACCUUUCCUCACUGACAUGGUACAGCGCUUGUCCUGCUAUAGUGCUGCAUUUCUGGCAGAGGAUGGUAACCUCAGAAUGACUAUUUUCUUUUGAAUGAACCAGUUUGCUUUAUCUGAUAUGACACUUCACAUUACAAGUCCUUCAUCAGAUCACUUCAGAAGCACGUCAUCACACUGGGCCUUUAAUAUCUUGCUAAUUAGUGUCAUAAAUUACUAAUCGAAUGCUUUAAAUGACUCAUAUUGGUAUGGGAAGUCUCACCAUACAGAACAGUCAGUGAUCUCAGAAGAGGACGCAUCAGAGAAUCAUCCCGUCCUGCCAGGUAACACAGAAUUAAACAGCAGGGUAGGAGAAGGAUGGAGAAUUUUGCUCCACGAUUAGCAAUUCAGAGCCCUUACCACUGUGAUGCAUGUAAGUAUGGCAUAGUUUGAAUCUGUUUAAACAUGUAAUGUCCACUGAUGUAGGUGUGUGGAAGAAGCGGUGUGCACAGAUCCACACACCGAGGGUAAAGGAUCGGCAGAACAGAUCGAAAGGGAGCUUUUUCCCCUGGCACAAUCCAGCCACAGUGCCAGCUCUGCUGCUUUAAUGACACGGAACGCACAUCACCACUGAUGCCAUUGCUAAAUUUGGCUUCACUGGAGCUAUGGGCUUUGGCAGGGAUCAGCAAACAGGAUUUUUCAUGAAUUGUCCAACACUGACCACUUCCAUACGAAGUGGCUAUCUUUGCCUUUUCCAACACAACCAGCUCCAAACAUAACCUAGAGACAAUGUCACACCUGGUUGGCAGCUGGUAAAAGGUAACUGAGUACUUCAGGACCAGUUCUCCAAUGCACAAUUCUGUUCUUUACUGGGCUAGGCUGGAGAGAGGUCAGCAGGGCUUGAGGUAGAUUUGUCUGAGCAACCUUUCACUCCUUGGCCUGGUUUUUCCCUAGGAGCCAGCCUGAUCAUCACUUGCCUUGCAGCAAAGGACAGGUUUUUUCUCACCUAACUCCCAACAAUGUUGAUAUCUACAUCUGCUCAGCCACACUCACCUCCCACCAGAGUUAAUGGAGCGAGAAGGCACUUUUGGGGAGUAAAUGACCUGGCCCAGAGCAGAUGCCUCCCUUAGGAUGAGAUCAGUAUCGCUCCUUGACAGCUGCGAAGACCAUUUAGCUCUAGACCAGCUGUACACAGCCUGAGGAAUCCCACCCCAAGUGAAUGGUCAGAUGCUGAGCUGCUGUAACACAUUAAAAGCGUGGUUGUUUCACACACACUAUUUGCCUUAUUUGCAUCCUUUGCUCCUUGCCCACCUAUUUUGCCUUGUUCUAAGUUGCCUUUUGUGACUGGCCCCAGGACAAGGAACCCGCUGCUGUUCCUACACCUCCAACAAGCAACAAGAACAUGAAGACCUCCACGUGUGCUGCUCCAGCACAAAGGCUUGAAGCAGAACUGGCUAGCCAGGUUCUUACAUGUAGACAUAAAGCCCCACCAGGGACCUUUACAAACAUCUCUGCUGGUCUCCUGCAUUACCAGUCAGUGUUUCACCCAGCACAUUUCUGAACUUAGAAAGCUACAUGGUUCGCUGGUAUAAUUACAGGUAUAUUCCCGUAGGAUUUGACACCACUGGUUAACCAAACAUUGUGCAUUAGCUCCUAAGAGAAAGGCAUUAUUUAUUUUACCCACACGAGGUUUAUCUUGUAGUAGCCAUCGACUUUCCAUGAAAAGAUCACGCUCUACUACUACACAUCAGCCAUUACAGGCAGCUCUUAAACUUUAAUAUCUCCAAAGGAACAACAAUUGUGACCUGUUCAAUAUUUUAUAUUUGCAGACAAGCGGAAUGAACUCACUGGAAUCAGCAGGGGGUGUAUGUUCAGCUGCUCGGAGCAAUAUUCGGGCAGCUGAGAUCAGAGAGGCAAUGCCCUGUGAAUGUGCCAUUCAACAGACAGCAGAGCGCAGGGUUUGCAUGGCAGACAUCAAAGUGUUGUGUAACCUGCAGAUGUUUUCCACGCAGAGGCUGAAAAAAGUGAUGGACAAGAUUUUGUAAAUCCUGUGCUGUGUUUUUUUCUUCAUUUGCUCCCUUACAUACCCGUUUCCUUGCCUUUUCUUGAAUGGAAGAAUGAAACCAUUAAAAAUGAUGGGUUAUAUCCUUAA